AACGCACCUUACACUCUUUGGUAUUCCGAAGAGUAUGCCUGUUUGAGUGUCAUGAAAUCUUCAACCAUUCCGUUGGGUGUUUACGCCUGGCGGUUUGGAUUGGACUUGGGUGUUUGUCGGACAAGCAAUUGUCUGACUCACCUUAAAAGGAUCAGUGGAUCUAUUGUCUUGGACUUUUGCAUUGCAAUUGGUUUGACUUGGCGUAAUAAGUAUUUCGCUAAGGACAGUGCUUCGGCGCUGGCCAUUGCUUUUCAACCGGACUUUGGAAAUCGCUUUCUAACCCUAAUUUUAUUUGACAUCUGGCCUCAAAUCAGGUAGGACUACCCGCUGAACUUAA
rnacentral:misc_RNA from 2 species